rnacentral:rRNA from 1 species
UGCUCUUUAUACCAAAAAAAUUUUUCAUCUAAGUGAAAAGACUUAGAUACUAAAGGAAGACGAAAAGACCCCGCGGAACUUCAUCUUUUCUUACACUACUGCCCAGUAGCACAAAGAUGUAAAAGAUUUGAUUGGGGCAAUCUCGGAACUACCCAAGCUUCCGAUUCCUACUAAAGCACAUCUAAAAUUUGGUACAGACAAAACAGCAGUUACCCCGGGGAUAACAGCGUCAUCCAACUUAAGAGUACACAUCGAAAGUUGGGUUUGCGACCUCGAUGUUG